CCCCUUCAUCAUUGUCAAUAUUAAUAAGACCAGCAAACAUCUACAUACACCUGCAUCAAUAAGUUAACAAUAAGUUCAAAUACGACUCAAACUUACCAAUUUCCAUAGUUCAAAUGCGUUUAGAUACAAUAUCCGACGGUUCAAUAAUUUUAAUAAAAACUGCAAAUGCAUCUGCUUCGCAUGAGGUAUCUCAUUUUCCAGUACUAUAAAAAGAACAAAUGUCAAUUUCAACCUUAAAAUAUAUAUUUUUAUUCAACUAUAUUUCACUUGCACUAAUUGAUUAUUUUUUAAAAAGAUCCGA